UAUAAAUGUAAUAUUUUACCAAAUUAUUAAUAGUUAUGUUCUUUAAAAUUAAAGAUUUUGGCGGUAUUUUAGUCUUUUCAGAGGAACCUGUUCUGUAAUUGAUAAUCCACGAUUAAUUUUACUUAUUUUAAUUAAUUUACAUAUCGUCGUAGUUGAAUAUUUUAAAAGAAUUUUAAUAUUCAAAAAUUUAAAAGAAAAAAUAAAUCAGAUCAAGGUGUAGUUUAUAAAUAAGGAGAAAUGGGUUACAAUAAAAAAAUUUAUAUGGUAAUAUUAUUUAAAAAUGAUAUUUAAAGUGGAUUUGAAAGUAAUUUAGAUAAGUUAAUCUAAAUGAUUUAGCUCUAAAUUAUGC
rnacentral:rRNA from 1 species